CAUAUAAGAAAGAUAGAUGUUCUUAAAAUACCAUUUUUACCCUUUUUCCCAAUACUCAUCAAUGAAGCUGUCCACGUGGAACCCUCUGCUUCCUUCUUUUCUCUUUCCAUAACUUUACACAACUUGCCUUUUCCCAAUACCAUUUGUUACUUCUACCAUUUGCAUGUUUACUAUGGAUUAUUAUUUUAUUCUCAUUUUUUUCCAUCCACUUUUCAUUCUCUCUUCUCUCUCUUUGUUUACUUCAUCUUUCUUUUUUAUCUCAACAUUCUCUCUUCUUUCUUCCCUAACCUCUUGCUUAAAGAUUCAAUCUUUAUGUGUGUUUCAUCUUAAACAUGAUUUUUUAGAAAAUCUGGACUAUAAUGAGAUGGAACAAAAAUUUUCAGAUCUGAAAUUAUACGAUAUAAAAUUGAAGGUGAGUUGUUACUAUGUGUUUAUUUUUCUAAUUCUUUUUCGUGUUUGUGUUUUGGAGCAGGACACCGCGGCUGGGAUUUCGAGCGGAUGAAGGUGUGUGAGCGAUAUCGGCAUGAAAGAGUUUUGGAUCAGAUCUUCUGCUUCCUCCUUCUGUUUGUUCUUGAUCUUUUAUUUUUUGCAAAAAAACUUGAACUAUAAUAAUGUUGAGAAUUUGAUAUUUGGUAUUGUUUGAUCUUAUAUUAUUAGUGUGGGUUAAUGUUG